rnacentral:rRNA from 1 species
CGAACGGAACCCGUAUUCAGGCGGCGGACGGGUGAGUAAUGCCUAGGAAUCUGCCUGGUAGUGGGGGACAACGUUUCGAAAGGAACGCUAAUACCGCAUACGUCCUACGGGAGAAAGCAGGGGACCUUCGGGCCUUGCGCUAUCAGAUGAGCCUAGGUCGGAUUAGCUAGUUGGUGGGGUAAAGGCCUACCAAGGCGACGAUCCGUAACUGGUCUGAGAGGAUGAUCAGUCACACUGGAACUGAGACACGGUCCAGACUCCUACGGGAGGCAGCAGUGGGGAAUAUUGGACAAUGGGCGAAAGCCUGAUCCAGCCAUGCCGCGUGUGUGAAGAAGGUCUUCGGAUUGUAAAGCACUUUAAGUUGGGAGGAAGGGCAGUAAGUUAAUACCUUGCUGUUUUGACGUUACCAACAGAAUAAGCACCGGCUAACUUCGUGCCAGCAGCCGCGGUAAUACGAAGGGUGCAAGCGUUAAUCGGAAUUACUGGGCGUAAAGCGCGCGUAGGUGGUUUGGUAAGAUGGAUGUGAAAUCCCCGGGCUCAACCUGGGAACUGCAUCCAUAACUGCCUGACUAGAGUACGGUAGAGGGUGGUGGAAUUUCCUGUGUAGCGGUGAAAUGCGUAGAUAUAGGGAAGGAACACCAGUGGCGAAGGCGACCACC